GAACUUAAGCAUAUCAAUAAGCGGAGGAAAAGAAACCAACUGGGAUUGCCUCAGUAACGGCGAGUGAAGCGGCAUCAGCUCAGAUUUGAAAUCUGGUUCUUUCAGAGCCCGAGUUGUAAUCUGUAGAGGAGUCUUCGGGUUUGGAUCUGGCCUAAGUUUCUUGGAACAGAACGUCAUAGAGGGUGAGAGUCCCGUAUGAGGCCAGCUACCUAUUCCCAUGUGAAGCUUCUUCGACGAGUCGAGUUGUUUGGGAAUGCAGCUCAAAAUGGGUGGUAAAUUUCAUCUAAAGCUAAAUAUUGGCGGGAGACCGAUAGCGCACAAGUAGAGUGAUCGAAAGAUGAAAAGCACUUUGAAAAGAGAGUUAAAAAGUACGUGAAAUUGUUGAAAGGGAAACGCUUGCGAUUAGACUUGCGCUCAGGUGAUCAACCGGUGUUCUCACCGGUGCACUCUCCUGCUUGCAGGCCAGCAUCGGUUUGGGCGGUUGGAUAAAGGCCCUAGGAAUGUAGCUGCCCUCGGGCAGUGUUAUAGCCUAGGGUGUAAUGCAGCCAGCCUGGACCGAGGACCGCGCUUCGGCUAGGAUGCUGGCAUAAUGGUCGUAAGCGACCCGUCUUGAAACACGGACCAAGGAGUCUAACAUCUAUGCGAGUGUUUGGGUGGAAAACCCAAGCGCGUAAUGAAAGUGAACGUAGGUGAGAACCCCUAAGGGUGCAUCAUCGACCGAUCUUGAUGUCUUCGGAUGGAUUUGAGUAAGAGCAUAGCUGUUGGGACCCGAAA
rnacentral:rRNA from 1 species